rnacentral:rRNA from 1 species
UACGUAGGUGGCAAGCGUUGUCCGGAAUUAUUGGGCGUAAAGCGCGCGCAGGCGGUCUUUUAAGUCUGGUGUGAAAGAUCAGGGCUCAACCCUGAGAGUGCAUCGGAAACUGGGGAUCUUGAGGACAGGAGAGGAAAGUGGAAUUCCACGUGUAGCGGUGAAAUGCGUAGAUAUGUGGAGGAACACCAGUGGCGAAGGCGACUUUCUGGACUGUAACUGACGCUGAGGCGCGAAAGCGUGGGGAGCAAACAGGAUUAGAAACCCC